rnacentral:misc_RNA from 1 species
GUAGGUGAACCUGCGGAGGGAUCAUUAACACGUGCCAAAACACGUUUUAAACCAAUCAACUGUGAACAACAUCCAAAACUCCCUUCACAUAUGGACGAUCGAACAACCAUCAGGGUGGAGUGCAUGUGCAUAUGGAACAAUCGAUUCGGAUAGGAAACUUACCCGAUGAGACUCGAUAUGUCUUGCAACUAUGGCUCGGUCUAGGGCUCCUUUGAGAGUCCAAUCCUGUGUGAAGCGAUUGCGCGACCAC